rnacentral:rRNA from 1 species
GACGAACGCUGGCGGCGUGCUUAACACAUGCAAGUCGAACGGAAAGGCCAGUGCUUGCACUGGUACUCGAGUGGCGAACGGGUGAGUAACACGUGGGUGAUCUGCCUUGCACUCUGGGAUAAGCUUGGGAAACUGGGUCUAAUACCGGAUAUGAACUGCCUUUAGUGUGGUGGUUGGAAAGUUUUUUCGGUGCAAGAUGAGCUCGCGGCCUAUCAGCUUGUUGGUGGGGUAAUGGCCUACCAAGGCGUCGACGGGUAGCCGGCCUGAGAGGGUGUACGGCCACAUUGGGACUGAGAUACGGCCCAGACUCCUACGGGAGGCAGCAGUGGGGAAUAUUGCACAAUGGGCGGAAGCCUGAUGCAGCGACGCCGCGUGGGGGAUGACGGCCUUCGGGUUGUAAACUCCUUUCGACAGGGACGAAGCGCAAGUGACGGUACCUGUAUAAGAAGCACCGGCUAACUACGUGCCAGCAGCCGCGGUAAUACGUAGGGUGCGAGCGUUGUCCGGAAUUACUGGGCGUAAAGAGCUCGUAGGUGGUUUGUCGCGUCGUCUGUGAAAUUCCGGGGCUUAACUUCGGGCGUGCAGGCGAUACGGGCAUAACUUGAGUGCUGUAGGGGAGACUGGAAUUCCUGGUGUAGCGGUGAAAUGCGCAGAUAUCAGGAGGAACACCGAUGGCGAAGGCAGGUCUCUGGGCAGUUACUGACGCUGAGGAGCGAAAGCAUGGGUAGCAAACAGGAUUAGAUACCCUGGGUAGUCCAUGCCGGUANACGGUGGGGCGCUAAGGUGGUAGGGGG